AGUGAACGCUGGCGGUAGGCCUAACACAUGCAAGUCGAACGGCAGCACAGUAAGAGCUUGCUCUUACGGGUGGCGAGUGGCGGACGGGUGAGGAAUACAUCGGAAUCUACUUUUUCGUGGGGGAUAACGUAGGGAAACUUACGCUAAUACCGCAUACGACCUACGGGUGAAAGCAUGGGAUCUUCGGACCUUGCGCGAUUGAAUGAGCCGAUGUCGGAUUAGCUAGUUGGCGGGGUAAAGGCCCACCAAGGCGACGAUCCGUAGCUGGUCUGAGAGGAUGAUCAGCCACACUGGAACUGAGACACGGUCCAGACUCCUACGGGAGGCAGCAGUGGGGAAUAUUGGACAAUGGGCGCAAGCCUGAUCCAGCCAUACCGCGUGGGUGAAGAAGGCCUUCGGGUUGUAAAGCCCUUUUGUUGGGAAAGAAAAGCAGCAGGUUAAUACCCCGCUGUUCUGACGGUACCCAAAGAAUAAGCACCGGCUGACUUCGUG
rnacentral:rRNA from 1 species